GCUGAACCCUGAAGCUAACUGAUAACUCAUUUCUCUCAAAUAGGCUCAGAGGUAACUCAGGGAUGAGUCAUCACAGGAAGUAGUAGGAUAUGUGGUGUCAUAGACUACCAUGGAGAAAGAUUCCUGCACGGUGAAGAUUCUGGUCAAUACCCAAACCUUCAAUCCAGAAUGGACUUAGGGGUUAAAGAAAGAAGGGAUCUUUACCUGAGACAAAAUGAGACUGCAAUAAAAUCCACAACACAAGGAAAAUU